AGAGAGAGAGAGAGAGAGUUUAUUUUGUUGGUUAGGGGGAGGGGGUGUGAAGGAUGGAGCCUGUGCAUAUGUGGGACAUUUCACUAAUGUAUAGUUCUUGUUUUAUGAUGGAACUUUUAUGAAAUUAUUUUAUUUUCACUGGUGUAUACGUCACCAUGACCAUCAAUUUGAUCCUCUGGUCAUGAUGAGAUCAUGUGCUAUGACUUAUGAGUGCAACUGGUGCAUAUCUCACCAGUCACCAGGACCAUCAAUUUGAUCCUCUGGUCAUGAUGAGAUCAUGUGCUAUGACUUAUGAGUGCAACUGGUGCAUAUCUCACCAGUCACCAGGACCAUCAAUUUGAUCCUCUGGUCAUGACGAGAAUAUGUGCUAAGUGCAACUGUGAUGACUCCCUGAUGUUCUGUUCUUUCUUCUAUGAUCUGACAACCACUGUACUUUUGGUGGGAUUUUAUAGUUGCAGUAGAAUAAGUAGUCUGACUUCCUUUUUGUCAUUCAUUUUGAUAUUGGUCUCAUCCAGCAGAUCAGCACUGCUAAGAUUGUGGCAUAUCUCAGUUACCAUUAUAACAUCCAAAACCUUGUUUGAGCUUUUUAGUUGAUUGCAAAACUUGUAUCAGCUGCGCUGAUUAUGUUCAAUGCAGUGUGAGACCUUUCACAUGAAUUGGCAUUUGUGAGUUAUUCUGGUGCAUUCUUGUUGCUGCUGGGGAUCUUUAGACUCUGGGAGACUGGAGCUUUUCCACAGGUGGCAUCAAUUCUCUGGGAUUGAAAAUCUGCCCUUUUCAGCAUCUCCUUGCGAUUUUCAUUUUCAUAAUAUAAAAUUUUAUGAGUCUCUGAAUUGUAUUGUGGACUGUUUAGGUAUUGUCUAUGAUGUGCGCUAUGUAUGUGCUUAUAUUGUUCUCCUUUUAUAUGAUGUUAUGUGUUAAUCUAUUAUCGUUUUAAUCUUCUUUUCAAGGAGGGAUUUAUAUUGAUUUUCUUUCUGUGUGUUAUUUACUGGACAGUUCCUGAGGGUGGGGU
rnacentral:misc_RNA from 1 species